rnacentral:rRNA from 1 species
UACGUAGGGGGCUAGCGUUGUCCGGAAUCAUUGGGCGUAAAGCGCGUGUAGGCGGUUCGGUAAGUCCGCUGUGAAAGUCGGGGGCUCAACCCUCGGAUGCCGGUGGAUACUGUCGGACUAGAGUACGGAAGAGGCGAGUGGAAUUCCUGGUGUAGCGGUGAAAUGCGCAGAUAUCAGGAGGAACACCGAUUGCGAAGGCAGCUCUCUGGGACGGUACUGACGCUGAGACGCGAAAGCGUGGGGAGCGAACAGG